rnacentral:misc_RNA from 1 species
CACCCCUCAAGCACUGCUUGGUGUUGGGGCACUGCUACACCCAGGAGCAGGCCCUCAAAUUCAGCGGCGAGCCCGCCGGGACCCCGAGCGCAGUAGUCAAACCCUCGCUCCGGAAGGCCCCGGCGGUUGCCCAGCCGUAAAACCCCCAAACUUCUGAC